rnacentral:rRNA from 1 species
UACGUAGGGGGGCGAGCGUUUGUCCGGAAUCAUUGGGCGUAAAGCGCGUGUAGGCGGCCCGGUAAGUCCGCUGUGAAAGUCCAGGGCUCAACCCUGGGAUGCCGGUGGAUACUGUCGGGCUCGAGUCCGGAAGAGGCGAGUGGAAUUCCUGGUGUAGCGGUGAAAUGCGCAGAUAUCAGGAGGAACACCAAUGGCGAAGGCAGCUCGCUGGGACGUGACUGACGCUGAGACGCGAAAGCGUGGGAGCGAA